GGCGGUGUGGCCGAGUGGUUUAGGGCGCUGGAUUUGAAAUCUGGAGUUGCCUGGUUUAAAUCCUCCAUCCUAGCCA